rnacentral:rRNA from 1 species
UACGUAGGGUGCAAGCGUUUCCGGAUUUAUUGGGCGUAAAGAGCGUGUAGGCGGGUCGGUAGGUCCGUUGGGAAAACUCGAGGCUCAACCUCGAGACGCCGAUGGAAACCCUCGAACUAGAGUCCGGAAGAGGAGAAUGGAAUUCCUGGUGUAGCGGUGAAAUGCGCAGAUAUCAGGAAGAACACCCGUGGCUAAGGCGGUUCUCUAGUACGGUACUGACGCUGAGACGCGAAAGCGUGGGGAGCGAACAGG